UGAGGAAUAUUGGUCAAUGGGCGAAAGCCUGAACCAGCAACGCCGCGUGAGGGAUGAAGGCCUUCGGGUUGUAAACCUCUUUUCUGGGAGAAGAGACAAGGACGGUAUCCCAGGAAUAAGUCUCGGCCAACUACGUGCCAGCAGCCGCGGUAAAACGUAGGAGGCUAGCGUUAUCCGGAUUUACUGGGCGUAAAGCGCACGCAGGCGGUCACGUAAGUCGGACGUGAAAUCUCUCGGCUCAACUGGGAGGGGCCGUUCGAUACUGCGUGACUUGAGGUUGGGAGAGGGAAGCGGAAUUCCCGGUGUAGUGGUGGAAUGCGUAGAUAUCGGGAGGAACACCAGUGGCGAAAGCGGCUUCCUGGCCCACACCUGACGCUCAGGUGCGAAAGCGUGGGUAGCGAACGG
rnacentral:rRNA from 1 species